rnacentral:lncRNA from 1 species
AUGUCGCUGAUCUUUCUGAUCUCGUUAGCUCUGGACGAGACAGGAAACCUGAAGAGAUUGCCUUCGAAGAAGAGUGUCAGCGCAAAAGCUUAGCCUUUCGUGCUGAAAGGUUUAGUUCUUCACUUUUACAUUUCACUUGAUUUUAGCAUCUUUGGUUAGAGUUGACCUCCUCCAUUAGUAAAAUUUAUUCACUAAAUUAGGAAUCUGAUUCCUGGUCUGUGGUUACUGCGUCUUCACCCACUCUUUGAUACAUAUUAUAACCACUUAUUAGCUUCUUUAGUCCCUGUCUCGAGAUAUUCACACAGUUCUUUCCAGUUGAGAGAACUUAAUAAGAAGAGUUAGUUUCAUAUACUUACUGAUGCAUUUAGUUUUAAUCGUACUUGAUUAAGUUAGCUAAUGAUAUCUUCUGGUUUUACAUUUUAAGAUAGAUGUUUAAAUCUUAAUAUACUUUUUCCAUUGUUUUUAAGUUGUGUAUUUCUUUUUCUUAUAUUUUCUAUUUACUUAAUAUCUAUAUUUUACAUUUUAAGAUAGAUGUUUAAUAUUUAAUAUACUCUUUCCAUUUUUAAAAAAUUGUGCAUUUACUUAUUAUUGUAUAUAUAAUUCGUAUAUUUAUAUAUUUAUAACAUUUACUUAUUAUUUAUUUUUUAUAUAUUGAGUAUUUCUCUUUUUUAUACUUUAUAUUUAGUUAAUGUCUAUAUUUUAUAUUUUAAGAUAGAUGUUUAAAUCUUUACGCAUUUUUCUAUUUUUAAUGUAAAACGGCAAUGUUUAAUAGAAGAACUUGGACAAAUAGUCAAACAUAUUUAUGUUUAAUGUAGUAUUUCCAUUUUUAUGUUGUAUGUUUUACAUAUAUUUAUUAUUUUUGAAAUUAUAUAUAAUGUUUUUUGUUUUUUUUUUUAUAAAACGGUAAUGUUACAUUAUGGAGAUAAGCCGUCUUUUUUUUUAAAUGAAAAAUAGUAAUCUUUGAAAAAUAGUAAUCUUACAUAUGUUUAAUGUAGUUUUUCCAUUUUUUAAUGCUGUAUGUUUACAUAUUUUUUACAAUUUUCGAAAAUAAUUAAUAUUAAAAUAUAAAACUAUAUUUUAUGCCACGUGUCAUUUUUCGGGAGAAAUUUUUUUCGCUGAUGUGGACGCCCUAUGGAGCCUCAAAAGCUCCCUUUUAUUAGUAGAGAUUUCCGUCGGUCUCUUUAUUAAUUUUUUAUUGAUUUUCAAUAAUAAUAUAUUUUAUUAUUCCCUGCUAUUUUAUUCUAUCUCAGCAAUUUUAUAUUGGCUUUUGCGGUUUAAAAUAUUUCUGUUAGUCGUAAUGCAUAUCCAAAUUCAAAUAAUAAAAUAUAUCAAAUUUACAACGAAAAAAUUCAAAACACUGUUAAUAUUGUUUUAAAUGAGAAUUGAUGACACAUAAUUGUGUAUAUUAUAUCAUUUAUUAGUACAAACUUUUUAGUUAUAACAUCAAAUAUAGGAGUAUAUAAGUUUUACCAAUCACUCAUUAGCUUUUUCGAAAAUAAUAUAAUUCGGUAAAAGUUAAUAUAUAUUUUGGAAAAUUAUAGUACUAGACCGCCAACAAUUUACGAAUUUGUAAUGUAUUUAAAGGAAAAAUAGAGCAAAUUAAAUUUGGCGCAAUAAAAUUGAGGAACUAGCCCAAGGGGCCGACAUUAUAUGGGUAUGGGCCUUAAGGCCCAUACAAAGCCAUAUUAAACAAAACUUCACCAGACGAGAUUAUCAACACCCCGUUACUAGUCGUCGUCAUCAUCUCUUCGUGCACUCGCUUAAGAUUCGAUCAGAACCUGAAAUUUCGCACGCCUCCGCUGAUCAUCGUCACCAUCGGAAUAUUCCACAUUCGCCGCCGUGAAACCACCUCAUCGAAUCAGAAGUACGGAAACUAGCUGAAUUCGUCUUUCAUUCUUUUUCGAUUUGGUUUUGAUGUAUCCGUUUUGGUGUAUUGUUGUUCAGAGAGGCUUUAGCUAGGGUUUAGGUUAAUCAAAUGGGGAAGAAGGAGAAUGAUAUGUCAGCAAUGGAGAUCGACGAUCCGAAACUGGACGGCUCUGAUCAGAUCCUUCCUAGGUUCUCGAUGAACGGUUAGUUUUGUUUACUAGGCCAUUACUGUGAAGUGUAUAUCAAUAAGUUUGUGGAUGUGUGUGACAUUGUGUUUGGCUUUACAGUUCUGCAGCUGAUGAAGACUUCUCAGGCUCAGCAUGGUCUGCGUCGUGGUGACUAUGCUCGUUAUCGGUAUUUAUAUCAAACCUUAACCUCAUUGGCCAAAAAGAAGAAGUAAUGGUUAAUAAUCUGUGUGUGUGUGUUAUCUUGUUUGUGUAGGAGGUAUUGCUCAGCACGGUUGAGGAGGCUAUACAAGUCGUUGAAAUUUACUCAUGGCCGGGGCAAGUACACCCGACGAGCCAUUCUUGAAUCAACUGUCACCAAUGUUAGGUACUCCCUCCGUUUCAUUUUAAUUGUCGUUGUAGAGUAAAAUUUCCGUUCAAGUCUCCGUUUUAUAGUUUGAAUGCAAAAUUUAUUAAUUUAUUUUUCUAUUGGUUGAAAUAUGGUUAGGCGUAUAGGUAAUGAUGUUCUUAAGUUGUUUGCAUAAACAUAAAACGUCAAUUAAAAUGAAACGGAAGGAGGAGUAUUUGUUUUGUUUUGUUUGAGAUGUGUUACUUGCGUGUACAUAGAUUCAUGGCUUGGUUUGAUGUGAAGGCUUAGUUGUUGCUUCUACCAUAAAGUGAUUUUGUUGCACUCACAUUACCUCUAAUUGAGUUGAUGUUGUGUCUUUUGUUUGAAAUAGGUUUCUUCAUGUGGUUUUCUACAUGGCGGAAAGAGCAUGGAGCCAUGCGAUGGAGAAAAGACAGCUACCAGAUGGGCCUAAUGCACGGCAGCGGAUUUAUUUAAUUGGGAGGCUGAGGAAGGCAGUUAAAUGGGCUACGCUUUUCUCAAGUUUGUGCUCUGUUAAGACAGAUUCCAGGACAUCUCUGGAAGCUGAGGUAUUUAACUUAUCUAAGGCCUUUAAUGGAAGAAGAGAAUACCUCUGUUGUAGUCUUUAAGCUUAGUUGUUUGUGUGCACGACGUGAGUCUCAUACUUUAUCUUACACUUUUAUAGGCAUAUGCUUCCUAUAUGAAAGGCACUAUGUUGUUUGAGCAAGAUCAAAAUUGGGAAACUGCGUUGGCCUGUUUCAAAAACGCCAGGUUUGAUUUGUUCAAUAUCCUCUUUUUGUAAUUUGGUAGGUCUUGUUUCUGAAACUUAUUCCACUUUGCAGAGCUGUUUAUGAGGAACUAGGGAAAUAUGGUGAUCUAGAGAACCAAGUUCUUUGCCGGGAACGAGUUGAGGAGCUUGAGCCUAGUGUUCAGUACUGCCUACACAAAAUUGGCAAAGCAAACUUGCAGACAUCUGACCUACUUCAGAUUGGUGAGAUGGAAGGCCCUGCCUUGGAUCUUUUCAAAGCAAAGAUAGAGGUACGUAACAUUUCAGUUUCUAUCAGCCUCACCUCACCACCAAAGCAAUCGAAUCUUGUCCACAUAAUUGCUGAAGCAUAAAUUUUUUGUUUUGUUAGUUUUUUCAUCUGUUGUUAGAAACUUGGAGUCCGAUUUGACCUUUGACACACCUAAAUACUAAUUACAUGUAUACGAUUUUGGGUACUCUUGAGUCUUGGGUACUCUUGAGUCUUGAGUGUCUUGCACUGGUUCAGUGGUGAACCAUUUCUCAGGUCUGUUUAAUAUUUUGGAUUAAUAUAAUGCAUAUUAUUCACUGUCACGUAGGCUGCUAUGGAAGAAGCCAGAUCUCAACAAGCUGCAUCUCUCACGGAGUUCAAUUGGCUUGGCUACAGAUUUCCAGUUUCCAACCCAAAAUCUCGGGUUUCUAUUUUAAAAGGUUCAACAUUCUCAUAUACUCUCUUUUGAACUACUUUAAUAUGCUGAAAAUUAUGUCUGAUCUAGGAAAAGUUAGGCUUACCUGUCUGAUCUAGGAAAAGUUAGGCUUACCUUAACCUUCUAGUUACUAUUGUGCGUUACCCUAUUAAUAAACCUGCCUUUAUAGAACAUUGAGCAUCUCUUCUGCGACUCUUACUCUUUUGUUUCUUGUUCGUUCAGCCCAGGAACUUGAGAAGGAUCUACAGGGCCCAACAGCAGAAUCGCUCCCUGCAGAGAAAAAGCUAACCAUAUUUGAUAAACUAUUCACUGCAUAUAAUGAUGCGAGGAAUACCAUACGCAGUGACUUGGUGAGUGAAUUUACAAGAGAUCCUCUGAUUUAUUGAUUGGGUUCACCGAAUAGCCUUUUGAAAUUUUUAGAAAACGGUAGACAAGUUUAUUAAAGAGUUGUUUUGGGGGUGUAUUGAUGUUUCUUUGAUUGAUUUUACUAAGGAGCAUACAAAUUUCAGGUAAGUGCAGGAAAUGCUGAGUCUGUUAAAGAUGAGCUAAAUGGUCUGGACAAAGCUGUUGGAGCUGUGCUAGGACAGAGAACCAUUGAAAGGAACCAGUUGUUGGUUAAAAUAGCAAAGAGUAAACUGAACAGGAAGCGUGAUGAUAAGAAUGAAAAGGUUACUAAGCCUGAGGAGCUUGUUCGAUUGUAUGACCUUCUAUUACAGGUUAACCACCGUUCCCCCUGUUUUUUUUUUUCUUCAAAAUCGGAUUUUGUUCGUCAAACCGUCGACAUCUCACCUGCAUUUAUUUUUCUCAGAAUGUCGCUGAUCUUUCUGAUCUCGUUAGCUCUGGACGAGACAGGAAACCCGAAGAGAUUGCCUUCGAAGAAGAGUGUGAACGCAAAAACUUAGCCUUUCGUGCUGAAAGGUUUAGUUCUUCACCUUUACGUUUCACUUGAUUUUAGCAUCUUUGGUUAGAGUUGACCCUCCUCCAUUAGUAAAAUUUAUUCACUAAAUUAGGAAUCUGAUUCCUGGUCAGUGGUCACCCAUUGUCUUCAACUACUCUUUGAUACAU